rnacentral:lncRNA from 1 species
GCAAGUCGGUAUUAAUAAUUUUUCUAUCACAUUAGGUUGCAUUUGAUCACAAUAAAUAUCAUUUACAUUACUUGGAUCAUACAAGAAGGUUUCACCAUAAAUGGCAUUUUGUGCAUGAUCUAUAUUUUGUACAUUAUAUUGACAUGAUAUUUUAUAGUCUGCACUACAAUAAUUCACUGUAAAAAUAGUUUUUAGUUCAAUCUAAAAAAAAUACGAUAUUUUGGAAAGCCUUUUUUUCAAUUCAAUAAACUCGCCCAAUUAUGCAUAUCAUGAAAUGAUAUUUUUGAGAAAAUGCUUGUGAAUGGACUCUUAUUUAAUACAGCAACAAUAUCACAUUACUUAAAUCUCAUCAUCUCAAAACUCAUCUAAUUCCUGUUUAUAUAGUAAACAUUGUGAUUCAUAAGUAGUCAAAGUAUUUAACCAUCUAUUUUUCUUGUGAUUAUUUGUUGCCGGCAGUGAUCCUAGGCAGUACUUUCGACUUUUCAUUUCUCCAGUGUUCAAAUCAAGCAGUCCAGUUGAGUCUCCAUCAAAGAAGGUUAAAUGAUUUAUUGUUAGCACCUCUGUAUAUGUGAACUUCUGUAUAGUAUCUUCCUUGUUGUUUU